GAUUCACGUUUAAAAAUUCAGUCGAAUAAAGGUUGAAACAAACCUAAUUCUGAUUGAAAUGGAAGUAGAAGUUGUGUUUUGUUUGUGUGUUUUACUGCAUUGCAUACUACUGGCAUCGUCUUAUCAAGGCACUUGUAUUCAAACCCCACGUCAAUUAUGGAAUUUGAUAUUGGUACACGCAAUGUUACUGUACUGGUAGAGCAAAGAAGUCACGUGUAUGCGAUGGAAUAUGAUUUCAAACACAGAUUCAUCUAUUUUCCAAGACAUAGUAGAAAAGAUAUCGUUCGAUUUGCAUAUCCGUCAAAGAGUAGAACAUUACAGACAGUUGUCCAGACUGGUUUAUAUCCAUCAGGAAUAGCUGUUGAAACAACCACUGAUCAUAUCUACUGGGUUAGUGAGGUUAUAAACAGACUCUCAAGAUGCAAUCUAGACGGAAGCAAUGUGACUGUGUUAUCAAGUCCAAGUAAUCCUUUUGUGAUAUGACUUGAUCUUAC